rnacentral:rRNA from 1 species
UACAGAGGUCUCAAGCGUUGUUCGGAUUCAUUGGGCGUAAAGGGUGCGUAGGCGGCGCGGUAAGUCGGGUGUGAAAUCUUGGAGCUUAACUCCGAAACUGCAUUCGAUACUGCCGUGCUUGAGGACUGGAGAGGAGACUGGAAUUUACGGUGUAGCGGUGAAAUGCGUAGAUAUCGUAAGGAAGACCAGUGGCGAAGGCGGGUCUCUGGACAGUUCCUGACGCUGAGG